AUGGAUAGCGCUAGUGCCUGAUGGAUUCAGGCAGACGAGGUAGAGAAGUAUCGAAAUAGUCAGCGGAUGUCUCUCGGCAGCUUCAGCCGUUAUAUGGCGGAAAAACACGAUGGUAACGUCGUCGACAAGUU
rnacentral:ncRNA from 1 species